GAUUCGGUUCUUGCACUGGACGUCUGUACGGUGAGUCUUCUUGGAGUGGCCAUGGAGGGCAUUGACGGCUUCAGCAACAUCCUGCCAAUCCUUCUGACGGAGAUUGCCCCGGUUGAGCUCGACAAAACGGCGUCCCCAAACGUCGAUGAGAGUGGAGGUAGCCUCCUCGCUCCAGCAGUCUUCACGAACGGGCAUGGGUCGGGAGUGGCCCGACGACGGUGUCAAGGAAUCGGUCAAGUCGCCCAUGGGGAGCGGCGGCGGAGGAGGAGAUAGAAAUACGGCAGGUGAUCUGGGAUCGGCGAUUUGAGAUUUGGGGAGCCGGGGUCGGGAUCGGGAUCGGG
rnacentral:misc_RNA from 1 species